CUUUUGUGGGAAGAUCUUCGUGAUUAUUCUUUGAUGUCCUUGUGGGUUUCAAUUUUCUAAUUUAAGUUUCAAUUCUCAAUUUAAUUUAAUUAUAUACCCAUCCAUUUCCCACAAGUGAAUUAAGGCAAACAGGGGUUAAAUGACUUAUCCAGGAUGAUACAGCUCAGAGCUGGAUUUAAAUUCAGGUCUUGCUGGCUCCAGGUGCAGCAUUCUACGUAUGAGCCAUCUAGUUGCCUCCAACUGACACGUUUUUUGGUUGUUGUUGUUGAGUCAGAGUAAGUGCUUAAUAAAUGCUUCUUUCCUUUCCCCACAAAGGUUUGGAGGAAGAAGAAGGGAUGGGUCCGGGUUUCUGGAGCAAGAAGUGAUAAAGAAAAUGUGCCUUGAACUCUUCUCAGAAAGAAAUCAGCUGCUUCGAGAGCAGGGCUGCUGCUUUGAGUGCCCUCAUUUAGUUCUAGGAAACCAGUGAACUAGAGAGAGACAAAGGUUUCCUUCAGGCCCUUGGAGUUAAGAGUAAAUGGCUGAGAAGACAGUGAGAAUAAGGAAUCUAUCUUCCAGGAAAUGAUAUCAGGAAAUGAUUCCCAAGGCCCUGAGGAGGAAAAUAGAGUUCAAGGCUUAGUAUUAUUAUCAGUGACCAACUGGGAUGAAAGAAGGCUCACUGGGCAAAGCCAAAUUUCUUCUGGGAGGAGAGAAAGACCCUCCAGUCAUGAGAAGGCCUUCAUAAGUGCCUCUGGAAUGCUUUUGUGUAACUUCAUGAAGGAAAUCUCUUUAGCGAAUCUCCAUAGCCGUGUUUCACCCUGUGAACAGCUAAGAGAGCAGCAGAUACUCAGCCAGAGUGGAGGAAGGGGAGUAGAAGAAAAAGAGGAGGAAUACGCCCAGAGGAUAAGGGAUACAAGUUUGGUUUUUUCCCUUUCCUUCUUUGUUGUAGUCAAACCUCAUGCUGACCUGGACUAGUAGAGUAUCCCUCUUUCUGAACUUCUUGGCUCAAGAACAUGAAUAGAGAGAAAAAAAUGCACCAUAAUACAAUCAUGCUCAUGAAUGUCAAUCAGCUCAUCCUCAAAAACUUUGUGAAGGGGGGGGAAGUCUCUCUGAAUUUACUUAAAAGGGCAAAACAAUAAAAAGGAGCUGCUGCCAACUUGGCUAGCUGGUUUUCUCUGCAUCAUGUUUCAGGGCUCAAACAGCUCUGAGGAGACCAUAAUCACUUAGUCCCAGCUUCUGGCAGCAUUCCUUCUCAAACGCCAAGCCUGAGGAAGUAUACUGCUGAAUUAUUGAGCCAGAAAAUAUUAGUGUUGGAGGGGUCCAUCCAGCCCUACACCCUCAUUUUAUAGAAGCAAGCCCCGAGACCCAAAGAAAUUAAGACUUUGCCCACGAUCCUCAAGCUAGUCAGUGGUGGGACUGGGCCUAAUACUGAGGGAUGCAAAGAGGGUAGCAUUUGCUGUGGGCAUAGGAAAAAAGGCUUCAUUCCACCAGUAAGCCAGCCAAAGUAAGCAGAAGGCCAAAUUAGACCCUGCACACCAGGCACGAGGAGGAACCGAUAAUUUAAAGCAAGGCAUGGAGAUGGAGUGAUGUGAACUCCCAAGUUAUUGAUGGUCAAAGUGAAGAGUGAGAAGAGUGAGUUGUUCUCUCCUCUGCCCAGAAGGAAGAGGGAAAGAACCGAGACUCAGCCAUCAAUUCUGUUAGGGAUGUAAAAUAAUACCAAGACUGGAGACUGGUUAGCCAGAAAUAUUCCCGCUAUCCUUUCAGGCUCCCACAUGCUCAGACCCAAAGCUAAAAAGUCUUCAUGACAGAAACUAAAACAAAUAUUACAAAGUCUUCUGGGAGAGCUAUUUUCUUUGAACAAAUGUGGGCUGCUUGAGAUUACAUCUAGGUGGCAGGAGAAGCCUUUGGGGUUUGUGGGGAUCUGUAUAUGGGGAGCAUGUGCAUAUGUACCUAGGCACACGUGCAAGAAUAUAUUGGUAAGGGCAGGGAGAGAGUGUUAUAAAAAGGCUGCCACAAAGUAAACACUAAGUUUUCUUGGUAUCUCUUCUUGACAUCUAAGUGUUGAACAGGAAAGCACCACAUGGGCUAGCCAACAGCAUGAAGCCUUCGUUUCCAAAGGAUUUGUUCCAGCUGGUCAGUGACUGGCCUCUCUUCCAGGACUGGUUGGAAACAAGAGGGGGAUUUCAAAAGGCCCAGUGAAAAGAAUUCAGAGGACAUGCCAUUAUUAAUGUUCCUGGUUAGGGAUGCUUAAUGCAAAUUUACUCCCAAAAGACUAUUCUACCUUUUCCACUCAAGGCCAAGUUCAAAAUGACAUGUUCUCUUUACUAUGAGCUGAAGGUGAAAGGAUAAUUUUUGAACAGAAGGGAAAAUGCUUUUUCUGAUACCAAGCCCUAGAGUGAUGAUAUAAGAGGUGGAAGACCUUAUUCAAUUUUUACUCUCUGAUGUCUGGGUUAAGCAUUUAACCU
rnacentral:lncRNA from 1 species